AAGCUAUUGGUACCUGUUUAUGUGGAUAAUUAUGUAAAUGAUGCUGUAUGAUGUCCUUUUCUUGUUCUAUUUAUGUUUUAUGUUUCAUGUGGAACUACUUGAGCAGGUCUCCCUUGAAAAAGAGAUCAAUGAUCUCAAUGGGAUUUAUCUGUAUAAAUAAAGGUUUGAAAUGAAAUGAAACUAUUUUUGAGUUAGCAUUUUAGUGUAAGCUGUCUAUAAAAAGCUUCACUAUAUAAGAGAAAGGGAUAAUGCAGUGAUAUUAUUCUGAAAUGGACCAAUCUGCACAAUGGCUACUUUUGCUUUUACUUUAAGUAUAUUUUGAUGCUCAUACUUUUGUACUUUUACUUGAGUAACAUUUUGAAUGCAGAGCUUUUACUUGUAUCAUCCUUCACUCGGUACUUCUACUUCUACUACAAGAUCUGAGUACUUCUCCCACCUUUCACAUCUAUAAUUAUUGUAUGUUGAGUACAGCACACAACCAUUUUCCCACCACCGUCAGAUCUUUCUGUGUGUGUUUCUGAGCUCCACUAGGUGGUGAAGUGUUCGCCAACAAAGUCCUGUAUGACGCGUCUGGAUCUGGAAACUUGGAAUGCAUCGAGCUUCUUCUGCAGAACGGAGCCAACCUCAAUGUAGCUUCGCCUGCCAGCUGCCCAUCCACAGAGCUGUGAGGGACGCAUACUGCAGGCCGACAUCUCUGCAGCACUUCAGUCGACUUCAGAGGUCACAUGACCCUCGGGAUGCUGAAUGACCCUGAAUCUGCUUUCCAUUAUCCUCCGAGACUAAAGAGCUACCUGACCUACAGAGAGAACGACCUAUAGGGCCACCUCUCCUCUCUGUGAAACACUUUUGAUCUGUGUGAUGGAAACACUUUUCUCAAAAUAUAUGAAAUGGGAAUGCAUUUUCUCUGAAGGCCUACCACUUCUUUUAAGUGUCAGAAAAAAAUAUGACUUCCUAUGUUUGAAAAGUUAAAUGUUUUCUCUCUUUAUUGAGUCUUCUUAUUUUGCAUUGACAUAGCACAUUCUGUCUUUGUUAAAAGGCGAUUGAUUAAUGGCCAUGAUAGAUAACAAAUAAUAAUUUAAUAAGGUGUUAGGAAAGGCCGGGAAUAUCCAGAAAGAAAAUCACAAAGAAAGUACUUUUUUACAAGGACACACAUGGCUUUAAUUUACUUGUUGGAUUGGUCUGUCUGGAUUUUUUUUUUUAAAUCUGUCCAAUAGCAGGUUUUUAUUUUAUGUUUUACAGAUUUGACCUGAAGGUUAGUGACAGUUUUUACAAAACAAAAACUUAUCAUUAAGAAAAAGACGAAUGAAAUAGGUGUGUAAUAUAGCAUAUGCUAUAAUUUCAAUAAACGUAUGUGUUUCUUUAUAUUGAACCCCUAAUGUCAAUGUGUCUGUGUGCAUUUCAUAUACCAGGCUGUUCACCCAUGUCCCAUACCUUGUUUACCUUGACUUUUUUACACAUAAGAGCUUAAAAAGUGCAGACUAAAAGAAAAUGUUGAUAAAAUGUCUGCAAGAGAGCAACGAAACAGCUGGUCAUUCGGAUGGGCCGUAAAUGCACUUUCCACUCACACAGGCGUUUUCACUUCAUGCUUAUUAGACCUCAGCUCAAAGAGAAUAUAAGCAGGGAACUCGGCAACCAAUCAGAACCAUUUAGAAGUUAGAUGUUCCGCCUUAACAGGUGCAAUCAGACGCAGUCCUGAGAAGAAGUCUAAUUAGGAGGUUAAGUGAAAACACCUCACUUUGUACUGGCUAUACCUGAUUAUAUUGUGUAUUAGAAAAAUGACCUUUUACAUAGUAUUGUCUCUUACACAUAUGUUUAAGAAGUCAUUUUGCAAUAAACUAUUUAUGGUAACAAAUA